rnacentral:rRNA from 1 species
CGCCGCGUGAACGAUGAAGGUUUUCGGAUCGUAAAGUUCUGUUAUGAGGGAAGAACAAGUGCCGUUCGAAUAGGUCGGCACCUUGACGGUACCUCACGAGAAAGCCCCGGCUAACUACGUGCCAGCAGCCGCGGUAAUACGUAGGGGGCAAGCGUUGUCCGGAAUUAUUGGGCGUAAAGCGCGCGCAGGCGGUCUCUUAAGUCUGAUGUGAAAGCCCACGGCUCAACCGUGGAGGGUCAUUGGAAACUGGGGGACUUGAGUGUAGGAGAGGAAAGUGGAAUUCCACGUGUAGCGGUGAAAUGCGUAGAUAUGUGGAGGAACACCAGUGGCGAAGGCGACUUUCUGGCCUACAACUGACGCUGAGGCGCGAAAGCGUGGGGAGCAAACAGGAUUAGAUACCCUGGUAGUCCACGCCGUAAACAAUGAGUGCUAGGUGUUAGGGGUUUCGAUACCCUUAGUGCCGAAGUUAACACAUUAAGCACUCCGCCUGGGGAGUACGGCCGCAAGGCUGAAACUCAAAGGAAUUGACGGGGGCCCGCACAAGCAGUGGAGCAUGUGGUUUAAUUCGAAGCAACGCGAA